rnacentral:rRNA from 1 species
UACGUAGGGUGCGAGCGUUAAUCGGAAUUACUGGGCGUAAAGCGUGCGCAGGCGGUGAUGUAAGACAGGUGUGAAAUCCCCGGGCUUAACCUGGGAACUGCAUUUGUGACUGCAUUGCUGGAGUGCGGCAGAGGGGGAUGGAAUUCCGCGUGUAGCAGUGAAAUGCGUAGAUAUGCGGAGGAACACCGAUGGCGAAGGCAAUCCCCUGGGCCUGCACUGACGCUCAUGCACGAAGGCUAGGGUAGCGAACGGG